rnacentral:lncRNA from 1 species
CCGUUUAUCCCAACGCAACCUAAAACCUAGAGCUCUUACCACUUUAACUGUCACGCCCUGAGACCGGGCCUAGGCGAGAUAGCCGCCGCGAGCCUAUAGACCAGAGGCCUAUAGUCACGCAAGGCAUGAUAAAGCAGGCAUAAACCAGAAGUGGAUCACAAAAGCUAAUAUAUUUACUAUACAAAUUCCUUGACAUCUACAAAUAGUUGAGUAAAGACAUCAUAUUCUUUAGUCGCUUCCCACCCGCUGGUCAAGCCUAGUCUUGGAUGAAGACAUCUUCUGAACAUACUUAAGUUGAACAUACUUAAGUUACCUCGUUCGCAUCUAAAAAAGCUUUAACUGUCAUGCCCCGAGACCGGGCCUAGGCAAGACAGCCGCCGCACGCCUAUAGACUAGGAGGACUAUAGUCAUGCAAGGCGUGAUUAAUUAAGCAUUAACCAUCAGUGGAUCACAAAAGCUCAUAUAUAUUGACUACAGAAAUUUCUUUACAUAUACAAAUAGACAAAAUACAUUAAAAUCUCUAGUCGUUUCCCACCCACUGGUCCAGCCUAUUCUUGGAUGACAUCUUCUGGGCAUACUUAAGUUACACCGACUGCAUUUAAGAAACAGAGGAGACAAGGGUGAGUAUGAUAAAUCAUACUCAGCAAGCAAAUACUUCACUAUUCAAUAAGGAGCAAUGGUAUGAUGGUGUAGAUCAACAGAAGAACUAAAUUCAAAGGAUAACAAUGUAACAACCAUUGGAAUCGUAUUUUGAUGUAAAUGGACAAAAGAACAAAAUACCAGAUUUAGUAAAAACAACAAGGAGUCUAUUGGCGUCACACAUGACCGCAAGCUUCCCAACCCGGGAGUCACAGGAGUGAAAUUUCACACUUUUACGAUCUUAAGAGGGGUACUCCGACGUCGACAGCCUCGACUAGAACCACAAAGGUUCCAGAAGAGAAGAGCUCUUGUACCCACUAAGACCCGGACACCUGGACCUACUGAUGUCGGUCGCUCCUACGGAUCCAUCACCGACACGUUCCCGAACAAGGUCCGUCCUUAGCGGAGAACUCAGACAGUCCCAUACCUGAACUGUGACCGGUGCAAUACGUUUGCCGUCAUGACACCAAUAUAGAUGGAUGUGUGUUUGAAUCAACGAUAGGACCACUGAAGUAUCGGUCAAAGACAAUACACUCAUGACUUUUCAUGAGUUCCUCCAAAAUACUCUGAUUCCAUCAACAAAUGGAUUAUGAGGAAAACACAUCCCUCUUUCAAGGAUCAACAGAGGAUCAACAAAGAUCAAGGUGCAAUGAUAUUACCAGAUAAUCAAGCAAGACAACAAUAAGGAGAGAUCAGGGAGUUUAGCAAAGCAUCUACUUGCCUCAGAUAAUAUGAUUUCUCCUUUAGAAUAAUAUUCUGCAAGAAGAUGAAACUCCAUCAUCUUUGUAUAAAAUCUGACGAAUGCGCAUAUACUAAUAUUCUUCUGACGUAUGGCUCCGUUCUUCCCUCCAUCAGCAUCUACACGAUCUAUAUAUCUUCAAACAUGGACGCAUGCAUACUUGUAUUCUUCAUCUCUCUUCUCUUCGCUCUCUCCGCUGGUAUGCUCUAUUUCUCUCAUGCUCUCUCCUAGUAUCUUCUCUUCGCUCUAUUUCUCUCAUGCUCUCACUCUUGGUGAUGAGGAUGUGCAAAACGAGUAGCAGCAGCUAUUUAUAGAUGGUGAUCCCAGAGUGAACUCAGCCGAGCUGUUCUUGAAGCACACGAUCAUCUGGACUCUACCUAUUACGUGGCAUGCAUGCCUUGGUCUACGUGGAGAACCUGGUAAAAGAUCUAAGCCGCAAUGGCCUUUGACCCUUGCCCCUUGACCCUUCGAACUGCUGCCCCUUUUGCUUGUGCAAAAGCCAAACAAACCUGACCACUAUACAAAACCUCCACGUAGCAAUUUCUUUGUCCUAAAUAUCUAAGGGUGCUGCCAGCACAACCUAGCUUCAUCUAGUACCAGGCCACGUUGGCCCUCUCAUGCAGAGGAUUUUACUUAGCUUGUAAGGAUAGUACAUACGUGUGCAUUCUCAUCAUUACAUGCAUGCACAUCUUCUAGUAUUUGGCCAUCUUCUCAUUACUAGCUAGCCUGUACUAGCCACUAAUUUGUAUUAAUUUGCAUACUAAUGCCAUAACGUGAGUGCAUGGAUGCUAGUCUACGUGCACACAUACAUAUUUACUUAGUGUGUAAUUAUAUCCAUCUAAUAUUUUAUGCAUGCAAAAAUUACAGCUCUAUUUUAAUUCUUUGAAACAGGAAUCUAGCAUAACUUAUUUGCCCAAUUAUUUUAUGUUAAACAGAUAACAGAAAUUUAAUACCCAACUUAAUUUAAAUUAAUAACCCAAAAAUUUGGGUUAUUACAUCCUUCCCACCUUGUAAGAAUUCCGUCCCCGAAAUUCAACACUAACAUACACACUAUAUUUUUUUAGUGGUCAAAUAUUCUUUGAUAAUAUUUGGGACAGUUUAUUUAAUUCAUGCUCAACAAUUAAUUAUAAAUAAUGAAACAAAAUUGCAAUAUUUUCUACAAUUUAUGGAUAUAUCUGCUAUAACAUAAGUUGGCAACACUAAUCAUUUUAUUUGGUAAGGUCAUUAACAAAAGAGGAUAGAUGGUGAUAUAGUAAUUCUCCC